CAAGGGCAGCCCUCACAGAACUCAAUGGCAGAGACACAGCUGGGCUUUGGGAGGGCCAGGGACAGGACAGGAGAACCUGUCAGCAGCUAAGGUGACCUUCUGCUUCUCUGGGACUGUUGUCCAUGGACUCUCAUCACAACUGCUUCGUUCACUCUCCGUCUCUGCUUUUCCUUGCAUCUGGGUCACAUAUGGCUGCCACUGAGUCACCUGUCCUCCAUUCAGCAUUCCAUUUUCACACUCUUCUAGGGAGAGUUUGGGUGGGACAGCUUGGACCAGGUGUCACCCCCCUGGCCCAGUCCAUCUGCCCGUGGACUGGGCACAUGGGACAAAUGCAGCACCUGGCCCAGGGCAAAGACUGUUUGCUUUGUUUGUUGUUGUUAUAAACAGGAUGUGUUUGGGGCCUACCCCUAAAAAGAGGGAAUGGGGCAUGUUUCCCAAAGAAGUCUACUGCACCAGGCUGAGGAGUUUUUUGCUUAAUUCAAUGGGGGCCAGAGUGUUGAAGGACUUUGGGGGCAGGAGAGUGAUGUUGGCUCACGUGUUAAUGACAGGCCUGUUUGGAUCUGUGUGAGCUGGGCAAGGAGCAACUGGCGCCAUGUUCACUGAGGAAAGAAUGACUUGCAGAAUGGGUACCUUCCUUCUCCUUGGCAUGGGUUGGCAUGCAGCAUGGCUACGUGACUCAAGAAAAGGGAGAUGCGCCAUCUGUUUUCCACAUUGUAUGAACUUGCUGGGACUUUGGAUAAGUCACUGAACCUCUCUGGGAUUCUAUAACUCUAAUUCUUUCAAUAAGAGUUUAUAUAUAUAUAUACACAGACACCCACAUAUAUGUGUACACACAUAUGUAUGCACAUACAUACUUAUAUAUUGUGUAUUAUUUUAGCAGAUUAUUAUUGUGUUUCUCUAGGAGUUUUUUUAAAAGCACCUGCUACUUGGCAGUCCCCUAGAGGAGAGAGUACUUGGCAGGGACAAGCGACCCAGCCAGCCCUCCUGCAGGUGACUGGGAAUGAGAGCUGAGCACCUCCCAGGUAGGGAGGAUAGGUGCAAAGGGGCUCACCCCAGCUCUCGCCAUCCUGAGAGGAGAGAGGAGGUGCCCUUCGCAGGCAGCAGAGCCAGCCCAGCCGCUGGCUUUCAUUUCCCUUCCUCACAAGAGCCAUUUAUGACAAUCCGUCAGGGCAAGCUGAUGCGGCAGAUCGCUUUUGGCAGAAGUCCUUUCUACUUGUCAUAAAUCACAGAGAAAGCCACCGGCGGUGAAUACAAAGAAAGUCCAAGACCACUGGCUGGAGGUUAACAGCUGUUAGCGACCCAGGGUUCAGGAGACUUUACAAAUCCACAAAUACGAACAAGGCAGGCUCCUACAAAUAAAUUGGGCUGUGAACAACUAAGAAUGCUGUCUGGGAUGAAAGUCACAACUCAGAAUCACAAAUGAUAAUACAGCAAGAGCAGGACAAAGGCGGCCUGCCCAGAGAACUUUCCAGUCCUCACAGGACAUGCACACAUUUUUAUUUCACCACAAACUCCUCUGAUCCUGUGAGGUGGGCUGGCCAGCUAUUAUCUCCUGAAAAUGCCACCGCACUUGCCUACGGUCACACCGCUGGUAAGUGCCAGAGCCAGGGUUCAGAGGGAGGCCCCUGGAUCCACCUCCAGGACCCUUCCCACGAUGCCAGGCAGCUCCUGCGAGCUGGAUGCAGGCCACAUGGCGGGCGGUGCAGGAAGCUGUGGUGAGAGCUGGUCACACAGAGACUCCAUGGCAUAGCCCAGGAAAGAGCCCAGGGCUCGCCACUUUAAGCCCCUGACUUGAUUCCUGCCUCACUUUGGGGUAAGGGGCUUUAAACUCUCCCUUUUUUGUAAACACAGAGUAAUAAACAUUCAUUGUUUAAAAAAAUACAGGCAUGUAUAAGAAGAAUAUAGAAACAAUAAUCCCACCAUUCAGAGAUGAGCAUUUUUAACCUUUCAGGGCAUCACUCUCAUCCUUGCAGACAUUUUCUCUUCAUCUUGACACAUCUUUCCUCACCAAAAUGGAAUGGUGGUGUUCCCAAUGUUUUGUAAUUUCUCAUUCCAUAUAUAUUAGGAAUGUCUUUCCAUGUCACAUACACUUCAGUGUUUUUCUCAUUCCAUUAGAAAUGUUAUAUGUAUAUUUCUUGAUUGAAGAAAUAACCAUAAAGUUAUAUGCUCAUUGUAAAAAUACUCAAAUCCAAACAGUGCAG
rnacentral:lncRNA from 10 species